AGGACUCUCCACGCGCGGGCGCGUUUCAGGCCCACAGGACACGGCAGGUCGAAGGCCCUGUGCCCUGGCGUCCGCGCUGCCCGGCGUGGUGGCCGCUCCCCGGAGGGAGAAACCCUGUGGGGCGGCGGGCCUCCUCCCCGUGUCCUUGCCGCCCGGGCGGGGCGCAGCGCAGACCCAGCUGGGAGCCCUUCCCCAGACACUUUUCUCUGCGUCGACCAUGUUCUUCCUUACUGCUGCUGAGUAGUUUCCAGCUGAAGUGGGUCCAGAUUCCUUUCUACCUGCAACACACACCUGGUGCAGGGCGGCGCAGCCGGUUCCUAGGGCGCCGUCCCCUCAGCGCGGGGUCCGGGUGACCGGCUGCGGGCAGACGCAUCGGACGCCUGGCUUCUCUGCGGGUCUCGACAAGUGCCAGUCAAGCUGUUGUGAAGAUGACAGGCCUUGGGGGGCUCACAUCCUAACUGAACCAGCCCCUGCCAGCACUCUGUGGCCCACACUUGAGGCGGCAGUGCCUAUUUUUAUUUAUUUUUUCAAAAGUACUUAUUCCUUUUUGUUGCCCUUGUUGCUUUAUUGUUGUUACUGGUGUCAUUGUUAUUGGAUAGGACAGAGAGAAAUGGAGAGAGGAGGGGAAGACAGAGAGGGGGAGAGACAGACACCUGCAGACCUGCUUCACUGCCUGUGAAGCGACUCCCCUGCAGGUGGGGAGCCGGGGGCUCAAC